UACGUAGGGUGCGAGCGUUGUCCGGAAUUAUUGGGCGUAAAGAGCUCGUAGGCGGUGUGUCGCGUCGACCGUGAAAACCUGGGGCUCAACUCUGGGCGUGCGGUCGAUACGGGCAUCACUUGAGUUCGGCAGGGGAGACUGGAAUUCCUGGUGUAGCGGUGAAAUGCGCAGAUAUCAGGAGGAACACCGGUGGCGAAGGCGGGUCUCUGGGCCGAUACUGACGCUGAGGAGCGAAAGCAUGGGUAGCGAACAGG
rnacentral:rRNA from 1 species